GGCUCCGUAGCUCAGUCUGGUAGAGCACUGGACUCUUACGACGCGAAUAUGUUCGCGGAAGUUCGGAGAGAUCCAGGUGUCGUGGGUUCAAAUCCCAUCGGGGCCA
rnacentral:tRNA from 1 species